rnacentral:lncRNA from 1 species
GUUUUGGAAAGUAUUUUAGAUCCAAUCUUGGUUGAAUCUGUGGAUGCAGAACUUGCAGAAAUGUAGGGCCAACCGUAUUUCCGCAUGGAGAAUUUUCUGAGGAAAUUUUACCGGAAACUGUAUUAGAGGCCAAGCCUUGGAAAUUAAAUAAUGGCUGAAUAGAUGGAGAAACCUAGAGGAUUACCUACAUGGAGACAAGAACCUGUAACCUGCCAGAUUGCAGGCACGAAAAGAGCGGCAACAUGUGCAGGCACGAAGAGAGCGGCAACAUGUACCCGUUCCAGGUGGUAAGAACGAGAGAGCUGUGACAUGCCCCUGCUCGCUGAGCUGCAGGCAGCAGGAACAAGAGAGCUGUAACACACCCCCUCCUGCUCGCCGAAUUGCGGGAGUGAAAAAGCCACUGAGUGUUACUCCCUUCUGCCUGCCGAUCUGUGAGUGGCAGGAAGAAAUGGGCUUGUAAUAUGCUCCCAAGCAGUGGACUAUGGGAGAAAGAGCAGCAAAACUUCUGGGGGCCGAGACCUCGGGACUCCCCGAGCUAUAGCUGUAACACCCCUAAGGGCUCUGUGAUUGCUGGCAUCUCUUAGUUUUCGGGUGCCAUUGCAUUCCCCUCAUCUUGACGCUGGCGCCCAACGUGGAUGCUGGUUGCAGCACACCCGGCUCAGCUGCGUGCUAAGCGUGGAGCCACGGCAGGGGCGGAAUCCAAGCGAGCACGAGCUGAGUGCAGCCUGCCAGGUCGGGCGGGCGAAGUGAGCCUGGUGGGCCCAAGUGAGGUCCCAGGUAGAGGUUGCAGCAGCCACAGAGAUUUCUGGCUGGCAAAGUGGCACCAAAGGAAUCCUAUGCCAUUUCUGGGGGCUCAUCUGGGAUUGAUGGAAGGGUAAGUGCAAACCUAUGACUUUUUAAUUCCAAUUUUAUUUUUUUCCAAAAAGAGAUAAAAAUUCUCGCCCCUGUAAGCCAGUUAAGAGUGAGUAGCGUGCCUGCCAUUUUUCAGACUUGGAGGAGAGGCUUGCUGGGGAGGACUUUGUCAAUUCU